AGUGUUUUAAUUUAUUAUCAUCAUUUGUCAUUAUAGUUCACUUCAAAUAGCAUUGAAUUUUUUUGUGAACCUGCCUUCAUCAUGCUGGUUAAGGAAGUUAUGUUAUGGAACUAAGCUUUGUAGGACUAUGUGUGACAAGAUACCUUUGAAAAAUCUGCUUCACUACAUGGAACCGAGAGUUCAUUAAUGUUAGAGAUUUUGGGAAAUUAAUUUCUCAGUAAUGUGUCUUAAGUUACAAAACAUGAAGUGUCUUACUUGUGGAACAUUGGUAGACUAUGAUAAAGAAAACAAUUAUAAUCUUUUUUUUGGUUUUAAUAAUAAUUCCAAAUCAUUUUAAAUUAA
rnacentral:lncRNA from 1 species